CGCAACGAGGUGCGCGGGGGCGCGAUAUGUCGUGGGGGGGUGGCGUUGGCCGGAUGCAUGGGGCGUAAGGAGCUCGUGGGCGGCUGAGCAAGUCGGAUGUGAAAACUCCAGGCUCAACCUGGGGCCGCCAUUCGAUACUGCUAUGGCUAGAGUCCGGUAGGGGAGUGUGGAAUUCCCGGUGUAGCGGUGAAAUGCGCAGAUAGCGGGAGGAACACCGAUGGCGAAGGCAGCACUCUGGGCCGGCACUGACGCUGAGGAGCGAAAGCGUGGGGAGCGAACAGGAUUAGAUACCCCAGUAGUC
rnacentral:rRNA from 1 species